CUUGAUGACGAGUGGCGCACGGGUGCGUAACGCGUAUGCAACCUACCUUUAACUGAGGGAUGGCCCAGGGAAACUUGGAUUAAUACCUCAUAAUAUUAUUUUUCCUCCUGGUUAGAUAAUUAAAGUUUCGGCGGUUAAAGAUGGGCAUGCGUCCUAUUAGUUAGUUGGUGAGGUAACGGCUCACCAAGGCAGCGAUAGGUAGGGGGCCUGAGAGGGUGACCCCCCACACUGGUACUGAGACACGGACCAG
rnacentral:rRNA from 1 species